UUACCGGUACAAUGCUGGAUAACCAUAUUGGAUGUUGAAUUGGCUUGAUGAACCCUACUUCCAGCAACUUCUUGAUUUCUUCCUUUAUUUGAGUUUCUACUUCGGGUGCAUAGUUGCGAGGUGUUUGCUUUACUGGCUUCAUUCCCGGACUUAUGUUUAGAUUGUGCUCCACAAGAUCCUUGUCAAUUCCGGGCAUCUCGUCGUAAUUCCA
rnacentral:lncRNA from 1 species